GUGAGCCGUGUAAUAGGCGACCAUUUCGCGCGGUUCGGGGGGCACUUGAAUAAGCCGCCGGCACCCGGCUGCNGCCGGCACCCGGCUGCGUCUUUACCCCUAU
rnacentral:ncRNA from 1 species